GUCUAGUCACAGGCAUAGAGUACUGGGCUGCCAUGUAGGCGUCCCCUCCCUGUAUCCCUAGACCUGUCCUUCUGGUUUAGCUCCACCUCUGUUAGUACACAGUGAAACAUUCACCUGCCAUCAGACCACGACCAAAGACUCUUAAAGUAGGGAGACCCUACAUUGCCAGUGACAACUCCUUUUUUUUUUCUGUAUCUGCUGGAAUUUAAAGGACAAGUGUAUCAAGGACACAGACUACAAGAACGUAGGAAAGUUAGGAGGCUCCUGUCCCAGCGCCUUCCAGUCCGCCUCUGGUUACAGCUUCAUUUUAGAAGCAGGAACAAACAGAAAUAUCCUUUUAAUUUAACUGAUGCAGCGAUGAGUCAGUCAGGAUCUACUGGGAGCAAGCAUGGAUCCUCCAAUGGAGGACCAAGCAAAAUGAGUGCAAAAGAUCUAUUUGAACAGAGGAAAAAGUAUUCCAACUCAAAUGUCAUCAUGCACGAAACAUCUCAAUACAAUGUAGAGCAUCUGGCGACAUUUUUGAUGGAUAAGAAUGAUUCCCUGGGUACUGUGGAAGAUGCUGUAAAACAAUUAUUUCAGCUGGAAUCGAAGGACAAGAUCUGGGCCCAGGAGAUGAUCUUCCAAGUAAUGAACACAUCGAUCAGUCUUCUCGACUCUGCCACUCAGGAAGAACUAGAAAAUUUCCCCCUCUCCAUAGUCCAACACUGUCGUAGCCUUCAAGGUCCUCAUCGAUAUCCUCACAUUCUUCUUCUAGUAUGUCAGGAGGCUGACCAAAACAAACCCGAUAUACACUUCUUCAACUGUGAGAUGGAGGCUGAAUUGGUUCAUGCAGAUAUAGAAAGUGCACUUGCAGACAUUAAACAUGGAAAGAAAAUGAGACUACAGACCCUCAAGAUUAACCAGGAGAGGAUCAAGCAAAGGGAAUCCAUCCUACCUCCUGCCACUGCCCCCAAGCCAGCCAACAGGGACAACAAGAACCGAGUCAUUUCACCGGCUUCAGCAAGUGAAAUUGAGUUUGAUCGAAGAAGUAACAUGUCCCAAGAACCCGAAGAAUCAAGGGAGGCGCUGGCUAAGAAGAUUGAGAAGGAAACACAAUGCCUUAACUGCACACUGGAUGACAUAGAGUUUUUUGUGGCAAAGCUACAAAAAGCAGCAGAAGCUUUUAAGCAACUGAACCAGAGAAAGAAAGGAAAAAAGAGCAAAAAGAAGGGGCCAGCAGAGGGAGUCCUGACAUUACGAUCUAGACCACCAAAUGAGCUAGAGUUCAUAGAUUGCUAUCAGAAGAUCAAGCUGGCCAUAAACCUGUUGGCCAAGUUAAAAAAACAUAUACAGAAUCCUAGUUCAGCCGAACUCAUCCAUUUUCUCUUUGGACCACUGGAACUGAUAGUUCAGAGCUCUGGAGGUCCAGAUUUAGGAAGAUCUAUUACCUGCCCUCUGCUUUCCAAGGAUGCCACUGACUUCCUUAGGGGUCAUCUAACUCCGAAGGAAAUGCAACUUUGGGAGGCUUUGGGAGACAGAUGGACUAAAUCAAGGGCAGAAUGGCCAAGAGAACCUAUAAUUCCACAAUACAUACCAAAAUUUAAUAAUGGAUGGAUACCCCCAAUAGAAAUCUUUCAAGGAGCACCAUGGGAGCUAGAUAUGGGACACCCACCAGAGCCUGUUAAGCCUUUUAUCCUAGAAGAGCCACCAAAGCCAAAGGAAAAUCAUGGACCCAGGACCAAUCUUCCUCCUCCUAAUGGAAAUCCUUACAGGACACCAUCAUUCAAACAACAAAACCUUCCAGAAAUAAAGCCGCAGUAUAGCCCUCCAGGCCGCCAAAAACUGACCAGUUAUGACGCACCAGUGCCGGCACAGCCACAGAAAUGCGCCAAAAUCCGUUAUGACUUCACUGCUCGAAAUGCCAAUGAGCUGUCAGUGCUUAAGGAUGAAGUCCUGGAGGUUCUUGAGGACAAUAAGCAGUGGUGGAAAUUAAGAAACAGGAUUGGGCAGGAGGGAUAUGUUCCCUAUAAUAUCCUAGACGUAGUAUCUACUGAUGAAUUCCACCAACCAGAUGGUCACGUGCCUGCAUCCAAGUACAAAGGAGAUGUGAGCCCCAGAGGACCCAUUAGCCCUGCAUACAAGAUUCCUGGUAGCUAUGCUGGAGAUAAGUGGGGGAGCGAGAUGGCAGGAUGGUCAAACAACCAAAAAGAGCAGAUAAUUCACAAUAUGGAUGAACUGAAUGAUGAACUCCUAAAGAAGUUAACAACACAGCAGGGACCUAAAAGAAAUUUUGCAGCACCAAAAGUCCAGCAAGUCCAUGUACCAUUAACUUUCGAAUCUGAGCCAGAGGAAGUCAAAGCUUGGCUAGAGGCCAAGGGCUUUAGUAAACCAACCUCGGGACAGCUAGGUAUAUUAAAUGGGGCACAGCUUUUCUCUCUCAAUAAGGAAGAGCUCAAGAAAGUUUGUGGAGAAGAAGGUGCAAGAGUAUACAGCCAGCUGACUGUACAGAAGUCUCAACUAGAGAAGAGUCAGGGUGGAUCAGAACUUCAGGAAAUCUUGUCACGACGUCAAGAAAAGAUCAAAACAGACAACUAAGAGCAGAAGAUCUUCCCUGUCCAUUUCUCUACCCACGGAGCCUUGCAAAAUCACUUGCUGCAGAUAUUUAUGCCUCUGGCUGCAUAAAGUUUAGGGUUUGACACCCAUAACUUGUUAGAGCAAGCGACAUAAGACAUGGACCUCACCAGGAAACAUAUAUAUAAAUGUAUACAUAGAUGUGCAGCAAAUGUUAACAUGUCUUCUAGUGGAAAAUAUGGUACAUUGCAGAGUUUUCACCACCAAACACCAUUGCUUCCAAGCACUUGUCAGAAGCUGAACCUACUAGAGGAUAUCUGCAUAUCUUUACCAGCCUUCAAUCAUUCCUAUUUCCAGAUGAAUAUUUCUCUAAAGAAAAAGUGUGGCAAACGAUAUUUCCUGACAUUUUAUAUGAAAAUUUGAUUUAUUUGAAAAUGUCAUAAUACACUAAAGAACGCUCUCAAGUUCUAAGUAUUUUUUAGCAUUUGAGACGUCUCAGGAAACACUAAGGGGGAGAUUUAUCAAAACCUGUGCAGAUAAAAA